AUUCAUAUAAUUGGAAAGCCUCCCGCCGGAAUCAACUAUAUGUUUUAGGAUUAAACCGUUGUUUUUGAUAAAUGUGGAGUUACUAAUUGAUAAUGUGCACGUGCUUCGGUAGGGAAGGCAAUGAGUUUUCCCCAAUUAUCAGUUUCUUUAUUCUCACAGGUCAUUGCUUAAAAAUGGGAUCAAGAAGAAGAGCAUUUUGUCAAACUCUGUGAAGAAGAGCCUCUUCAUACAGGGAGUCGAUUAUUCGCAAAGGUAAUUUUUAUACACUGCUUCUAUCGUAUAUUCAUAUGAAUUUCAUAUAAAUUAUUUAGACUCAAAACAUGGUGGCUUGAGGUGCAUCGGCUAAGAAAUGCAAAGUGAUCAUCCGACCAGACCCAACCGACUUGGUCGUUUUUGGACAGUUUUUAAAUCGAACCGACCUGGUUCGAUACUUGAAACCUACCUAACCCAAUCCGCAGAGGUCAGGUCUGGUCGUUUCCUUAAAAAAUGUUUUUCCACUGAUUUCAAUACUAAAAUUUUAAGACUUCCAAAUCAAUCCUUAAUUUCUUAAAAUAAAAUCUGAAAAAAAAAAUGAAAAAUGAAAAAAGCUUAAUUAAUUGGGUCAGCAGCAGCAAGUGAAAGGGAGAGAGAACUAUGUACUACUUCAUUCAAACUCUGAUUAUCUUUAUCUAAUUUGUUGUAUUCUUCGACAUCUUCCAUGUAGAAUCUCUCCAUACUUGGAGUUUCUUUUAGCCAAUUUUGAGUACAUACCAAAACCUCCACAAUCCUCACGGUAAAAGAACUACGGAAGGGAUCAAGAAUUCUUUCUCCGGUACUAAAAGCAUUUUCUAAAUUCAUGGUAGACACUUUGGACGAAGUGCCAUAUUUAUUUGUUCUUUCUCCAGUCCUAAAAAAGCUCCCACCUUUGUUCCUCAUCUUCAUGCAGCAAGGUUUGCAUGCCUAUUCUUGCACUGGAUUAAAAUCUAAACAAACUUG